AGAGUUUGAUCCUGGCUCAGGAUGAACGCUAGCUACAGGCUUAACACAUGCAAGUCGAGGGGAAACGAUAUUGGAAGCUUGCUUCCGAUAGGCGUCGACCGGCGCACGGGUGAGUAACGCGUAUCCAACCUGCCCACCACUUGGGGAUAACCUUGCGAAAGUAAGACUAAUACCCAAUGAUAUCUCUAGAAGACAUCUGAAAGNGAUUAAAGAUUUAUCGGUGAUGGAUGGGGAUGCGUCUGAUUAGCUUGUUGGCGGGGUAAACGGCCACCAAGGCGACGAUCAGUAGGGGUUCUAAGAGGAAGGUCCCCACAUUGGAACUGAGACACGGUCCAAACUCCUACGGGAGGCA
rnacentral:rRNA from 1 species